rnacentral:rRNA from 1 species
AUGAACGCUGGCGGCGUGCUUAACACAUGCAAGUCGAACGGUGAAGGCGGAGCUUGCUCUGCUGGAUCAGUGGCGAACGGGUGAGUAACACGUGAGCAAUCUGCCCCUGACUCUGGGAUAAGCGCUGGAAACGGCGUCUAAUACUGGAUACGAGCUGCGAAGGCAUCUUCAGCAGCUGGAAAGAAUUUCGGUCAGGGAUGAGCUCGCGGCCUAUCAGCUUGUUGGUGAGGUAAUGGCUCACCAAGGCGUCGACGGGUAGCCGGCCUGAGAGGGUGACCGGCCACACUGGGACUGAGACACGGCCCAGACUCCUACGGGAGGCAGCAGUGGGGAAUAUUGCACAAUGGACGAAAGCCUGAUGCAGCAACGCCGCGUGAGGGACGACGGCCUUCGGGUUGUAAACCUCUUUUAGCAGGGAAGAAGCGAAAGUGACGGUACCUGCAGAAAAAGCGCCGGCUAACUACGUG